AUUCCAGCUCCAAUAGCGUAUAUUAAAGUUGUUGCAGUUGAAAAGCUCGUAGUUGAAACUUGGGCCUGGCUGGCGGGUCCGCCUCACCGCGUGCACUCGUCCGGCCGGGCCUUCCUUCUGAAGAACCUCAUGCCCUUCACUGGGCGUGCUGGGGAAUCAGGACUUUUACUUUGAGAAAAUUAGAGUGUUCAAAGCAGGCCUUUGCUCGGAUACGUUAGCAUGGAAUAAUAAAAUAGGGCGUGCGUUUCUAUUUUGUUGGUUUCUAGAGACGCCGCAAUGAUUAACAGGAACAGUCGGGGGCAUCAGUAUUCAGUUGUCAGAGGUGAAAUUCUUGGAUUUACUGAAGACUAACUACUGCGAAAGCAUUUGCCAAGGAUGUUUUCAUUA
rnacentral:rRNA from 1 species